GCAAGUCGAACGCGAACGGAAUCUUCGGAUUCCAAGUAGAGUGGCGCACGGGUGAGUAACACGUGGAUAAUCUGCCCUAAGGUUUGGGAUAACACUUCGAAAGGGGUGCUAAUACCAAAUAAGCUCACGCUCUCUUCGGAGGAAGUGAGAAAAGAUUUAUUGCCUUAGGAUGAGUCCGCGGUCCAUUAGCUAGUUGGUGGGGUAAUGGCCUACCAAGGCUGCGAUGGAUAGCUGGUCUGAGAGGAUGAUC
rnacentral:rRNA from 1 species